GUGUGAUUUAGUGUAGUGUAGACACACAUGAUUUACAUUCUCUACUCUUUUCCUGCCGGUCACGACCCGCCAAACAAACUAACGUCAAUGUAGUGAAUGCAGAGUGUGUGUUAGUGUAAUGAAUGCAGAGUGUGUGUCACUGUAGUGAAUGCAGAGUGUGUGUCACUGUAGUGAAUUCAGAGAGUGUGUUAAUGUGUAGUGAAUGCAGAGUGUGUGUCAGUGUAGUGAAUGCAGAGUGUGUGUCGGUGUAG